rnacentral:rRNA from 1 species
UACGUAGGGGGCAAGCGUUGUCCGGAAUCAUUGGGCGUAAAGAGUGUGUAGGCGGCCAGAUAAGUCCGCUGUGAAAACUCGAGGCUCAACUUCGAGCUGUCGGUGGAAACUAUUUGGCUAGAGUCCGGAAGAGGAGAGUGGAAUUCCUGGUGUAGCGGUGAAAUGCGUAGAUAUCUGGAGGAACACCCGUGGUGCAGACGGCUUGCUGGACCGUGACUGACGCUGAGGCACGAAAGCGUGGGUAGCAAACAGG